CGACUACAAUGUUUAAAAUAAAAAAAUAUUCAGCAAACACCAGGAAAACAUACAUUGUUAUGCUCACAUGACACAGGACCUGUUUUGUCCCUAUUCUCAAGAAUCACUGAACUACGUCAGCAGUGUGUCAACCCAUUACUGCUGGGAGCUUGUUCUUGCCUCCUCCUGCCAUCCCCCACUGUGAAAGACUUUUGUGGUGGCCUCGACGCUCUAACAUGAAGCAGAUGUGAAAGCAGAGAAUCCCUAAAAAGAAUUGGUCGAGGUGCUCAGCUCAUUCGUCUGAAAACACACCCGGCUCGCUGGGUGUGUGACGCCGAAAGAGAAAAACAUUAAAAUAUUGUGUGUACGUGCGUGUAGGGGAUGACUCAGAUGUUGGAUUUUACGCUUUGCAAAAGACAAAAAAACAAAACGUAGGACAUGUUGUGUGAGGUUGACCAUAGUUGUUUGACAAUUUUCUGAUGAAGAUGACGUGUAUGAAGCCGAAAAUUUUCCUCCUGCAGUCAAAGAUUAAUGAAUAAUCCUCACUGGCUACUGACCAGUUUUAUCUAUUAUUCACAAUCAUAAACUUUAAUCCAGAACUUUGAUGCUGAUUAUUGCAAAAUCUUUAUUGCUUUUAUGUAAGAUGGACCCAGACAUUUCUUAAGGCCUAGUUGAACCUUCCUGUUUCCUCAUCUCUGUCUCUCUAACGCUGUCACUGCCAUGAUGUAAUUAUCUGACUUUCAGUUUGGAUGGGCACAUGGCAAUUGCAGUAGGCGUAUAAUCAUAAACUGCUUAACUAAAUCAUAGCAAUCAAAGGUCAACAGGUGAAAAGAUCAACUUGAGUUGUUAAAACUCCUUGUAUUUUCCUGAUAAGAUGUUUAUUUUAUUUUCAUUUUAUUGCGUCUCAUUUUCCUAAGAAAAUUACAAGCUUCCUUCUUUGGGGCGUCUCUAGAGACAAUGAGAAUGAAGAAAUGAAAAGCCUUUUUUUCUGAAUU